rnacentral:miRNA from 1 species
AGCGAGUCUGCACUCUGGAAUAAC